UACGGGGGGUGCGAGCGUUGUCCGGAAUCAUCGGGCGUAAAGCGCGCGUAGGCGGCCCGGUAAGUCCGCUGUAAAAGUCAAAGGCUCAACCUUUGAAUGUCAGUGGAUACUGCCGGGCUAGAGUCCGGAAGAGGCGAGUGGAACUCCUGGUGUAGCGGUGGAAUGCGCAGAUAUCAGGAAGAACACCGACGGCGAAGGCAGCUCGCUGGGACGGUACUGACGCUGAGGCGCGAAAGCGUGGGGAGCGAACAGG
rnacentral:rRNA from 1 species